GCCGUCUUAGCUCAGUGGUAGAGCAGCUGUUUUGUAAACAGCAGGUCCUCGGUCCGAGCCCGAGAGACGGCU
rnacentral:tRNA from 1 species